rnacentral:rRNA from 1 species
GAAGAACCUUACCUACCCUUGACAUGGUCGGAAUCCUGAAGAGAUUCGGGAGUGCUCGAAAGAGAACCGACGCACAGGUGCUGCAUGGCUGUCGUCAGCUCGUGUCGUGAGAUGUUGGGUUAAGUCCCGCAACGAGCGCAACCCUUGUCCUUAGUUGCUACGCAAGAGCACUCUAAGGAGACUGCCGGUGACAAACCGGAGGAAGGUGGGGAUGACGUCAAGUCCUCAUGGCCCUUAUGGGUAGGGCUUCACACGUCAUACAAUGGUCGGAACAGAGGGUUGCCAACCCGCGAGGGGGAGCUAAUCCCAGAAAACCGAUCGUAGUCCGGAUUGCACUCUGCAACUCGAGUGCAUGAAGCUGGAAUCGCUAGUAAUCGCGGAUCAGCAGCCGG